GUGGGGAAUAUUCCGCAAUGGACGAAAGUCUGACGGAGCAACGCCGCGUGAGUGAUGAAGGUUUUCGGACUGUAAAGCUCUGUUGUUUAGGACGAAAGUGCCUGUUGCAAAUAGUUACAGGUAUUGACGGUACUGAACGAGGAAGCCACGGCUAACUACGUGCCAGCAGCCGCGGUAAUACGUAGGUGGCAAGCGUUGUCCGUAAUUAUUGGGCGUAAAGAGCAUGUAGGCGGGAAUCUAAGUCUGUUGUGAAAAUGCGGGGCUCAACCCCGUAUUGCGAUGGAAACUGGGUUUCUUGAGUGCAGGAGAGGAAAGGGGAAUUCCCAGUGUAGCGGUGAAAUGCGUAGAUAUUGGGAGGAACACCAGUGGCGAAGGCGCCUUUCUGGACUGUGUCUGACGCUGAGAUGCGAAAGCCAGGGUAGCGAACGGGAUUAGAAACCCUGGUAGUCC
rnacentral:rRNA from 1 species